GACGAACGCUGGCGGCGUGCCUAAUACAUGCAAGUCGAGCGGAACUGGGGGAGCUUGCUCCUUCCAGUUUAGCGGCGGACGGGUGAGUAACACGUGGGCAACCUGCCCUGCAGAUCGGGAUAACUCCGGGAAACCGGUGCUAAUACCGAAUAGUUUGGCGCCUCUCCUGGCGCUACGGAAAGACGGUUUCGGCUGUCACUGCAGGAUGGGCCCGCGGCGCAUUAGCUAGUUGGUGGGGUAACGGCCCACCAAGGCGACGAUGCGUAGCCGACCUGAGAGGGGGACCGGCCACACUGGGACUGAGACACGGCCCAGACUCCUACGGGAGGCAGCAGUAGGGAAUCUUCCGCAGGGGACGCAAGUCUGACGGAGCAACGCCGCGUGAGUGACGAAGGUUUUCGGAUCGUAAAACUCUGUUGUGAGGGAAGAACACGUACCAACUAACUAUUGGUACCUUGACGGUACCUCGCCAGAAAGCCACGGCUAACUACGUGCCAGCCGCCGCUGUAA
rnacentral:rRNA from 1 species